rnacentral:rRNA from 1 species
UCGAGAAUCUUCGGCAAUGGGCGCAAGCCUGACCGAGCGACGCCGCGUGCGGGAUGAAGGCCUUCGGGUUGUAAACCGCUGUCAGAGGGGAUGAAAGUCAGGCGGGCUCUCCCGUUUGAUUGACAUAGCCUCAGAGGAAGGACGGGCUAAAUUCGUGCCAGCAGCCGCGGUAAUACGAAUCGUCCUAACGUUGUUCGGAUUCACUGGGUUUAAAGGGUGCGUAGGCGGUGCGUUAAGUCGGUGGUGAAAUACUUUGGCUCAACCAGAGAAUUGCCGCUGAAACUAGCGUGCUCGAGGGAGGUAGAGGUGCAUGGAACUUCCGGUGGAGCGGUGAAAUGCAUUGAUAUCGGAAGGAACACCUGUGGCGAAAGCGGUGCACUGGACCUCUUCUGACGCUGAGGCACGAAAGCCAGGGGAGCGAAUGG